AUUGAACGCUGGCGGCAGGCCUAACACAUGCAAGUCGAAUGGUAACAGGAAACAGCUUGCUGUUUCGCUGACGAGUGGCGGACGGGGGAGUAAUGUCUGGGAAACUGCCUGAUGGAGGGGGAUAACUACUGGAAACGGUAGCUAAUACAGCAUAACGUCGCAAGACCAAAGAGGGGGACCUUCUGGCCUCUUGCCAUCAGAUGUGCCCAGAUGGGAUUAGCUAGUAGGUGGGGUAACGGCUCACCUAGGCGACGAUCCCUAGCUGGUCUGAGAGGAUGACCAGCCACACUGGAACUGAGACACGGUCCAGACUCCUACGGGAGGCAGCAGUGGGGAAUAUUGCACAAUGGGCGCAAGCCUGAUGCAGCCAUGCCGCGUGUAUGAAGAAGGCCUUCGGGUUGUAAAGUACUUUCAGCGGGGAGGAAGGGAGUAAAGUUAAUACCGUGGCUCAUUGACGUUACCCGCAGAAGAAGCACCGGCUAACUCCGUG
rnacentral:rRNA from 1 species